rnacentral:rRNA from 1 species
AGAGGCCCGAGUUGAUAGAUGCCGGCGUAAAGAGUGGUCAGUAUAAUAUUGCACUAAAGCCAAACACCUUCAAAGCUGUCAUACGCAAUCGAAGGCAGGAAGCUCUUCCACGAAAGUGGCUUUAAACCAUACAAUCCACGAAAGCUAGGGAACAAACUGGGAUUAGAUACCCCAUUAUGCCUAGCCCUAAACAAAGGUGACUUUUUACACCUAUCGCUUGCCAGGGAACUACGAGCCGCA